rnacentral:SRP_RNA from 1 species
CCGUGCUAGAUGGGGAGUUAGCGGUGCCCUGUAACUCACAAUCCGCUAAAGUGAGAUCGAACACCUUGCUGAGGCAGUCAACUUUUUCUGGUCAGUGCUUGUGUAAGUGGUGUUGACGGUACGGGCCCUGUGCAAAGCACUCUUUGUGAACUCCGUCAGGACCGGGAGGUAGCAGCGGUAGCAGAGCAGUUGCUUGUGCUGCAGGUUCGCCUUGCCUGAGCUAACUGCAUGAGAUACGCAGGGAAUGUUUUGUCGAAGCAGAUGCACGG